rnacentral:rRNA from 1 species
GAUGAACGCCGGCGGUGUGCCCAAUACAUGCAAGUCGUACGCACUGGCCCAACUGAUUGAUGGUGCUUGCACCUGAUUGACGAUGGAUCACCAGUGAGUGGCGGACGGGUGAGUAACACGUAGGUAACCUGUCCCGGAGCGGGGGAUAACAUUUGGAAACAGAUGCUAAUACCGCAUAACAACAAAAGCCGCAUGGUUUUUGUUUGAAAGAUGGCUUUGGCUAUCACUCUGGGAUGGACCUGCGGUGCAUUAGCUAGUUGGUAAGGUAACGGCUUACCAAGGCGAUGAUGCAUAGCCGAGUUGAGAGACUGAUCGGCCACAAUGGAACUGAGACACGGUCCAUACUCCUACGGGAGGCAGCAGUAGGGAAUCUUCCACAAUGGGCGCAAGCCUGAUGGAGCAACACCGCGUGAGUGAAGAAGGGUUUCGGCUCGUAAAGCUCUGUUGUUGGAGAAGAACGUGCGUGAGAGUAACUGUUCACGCAGUGACGGUAUCCAACCAGAAAGUCACGGCUAACUAC